rnacentral:rRNA from 1 species
UACGUAGGAUCCAAGCGUUGUUCGGAUUCAUUGGGCGUAAAGGGUGCGUAGGUGGCGAUGUAAGUUUGGUGUGAAAUUUUUGGGGCUCAACCUCAAAACUGCAUUGAAUACUGCAUUGCUUGAGGAUUGUAGAGGAGAGUGGAAUUCACGGUGUAGCAGUGAAAUGCGUAGAUAUCGUGAGGAAGACCAGUUGCGAAGGCGACUCUCUGGGCAAUUCCUGACACUGAGGCACGAAGGCCAGGGGAGCAAACGGG